rnacentral:misc_RNA from 1 species
UUAAGUUCAGCGCGUAUUCCUACCUGAUCUGAGGUCAAUAAAUGAAGAUGCCAAGAGCACGGGGCACGAGGCGGGCUUUAGGUGCGGCACCUUGAAUGCACCGGAGAGCAACGAGUUGGACGAACCUAGAACGUUGUGUAACCGGGCGGCGGGCCGCACCAAUCCAUUUGAGGACAGCGAUCCCUGAGGAUCGCACGUCC